UCAAGCACCACCUUCUCAAGCGACAACAUCGCUAGCUGUGCAAACGAUAGAACCACAUCUUUCUCCGGUGACAACAACACCAACUACUGUGCAAGCAACAGAAGCAACACCUUCUCAAGUGACAACACCAAGAUCAGUGCAAGAGACAGAAACAACACAUUUCCAUGAGACAUCCUCUCACUCUGAAGAUGUCGUAGAAGAUGAGCCAAAAAUUUCUCAAAAAAGGAAUUCUACGUUUUGGGAUGUAGAAGUCAUUAAUGAGGCGGGACAUAUUUCAAAGACACACUUAAGGGUAUCAGACGUGCUUGAAGCUCCUCCUAAUGUUA